CCUACGGGAGGCAGCAGUAGGGAAUAUUGCUCAAUGGGGGCAACCCUGACGCAGCAACGCCGCGUGGAGGAUGAAGGUUUUCGGAUUGUAAACUCCUUUUGUUAGAGAAGAUAAUGACGGUCUCUAACGAAUAAGCACCGGCUAACUCCGUGCCAGCAGCCGCGGUAAUAAGGAGGGUGCAAGCGUUACGCGGAAUCACUGGGCGUAGAGAGCGCGUAGGCGGGAUAGCAAGUCAGAUGUGAAAUCCUAUGGCUUAACCAUAGUACUGCAUUUGAAACUGUUAUUCUAGAGUAUGGGAGAGGUAGGUGGAAUUCUGGGUGUAGGGGUAAAAUCCGUAGAGAUCAAGAGGAAUACUCAUGGCGAAGGCGACCUGCUAGAACAUAACUGACGCUGAGGCGCGAAAGCGUGGGGAGCAAACAGGAUUAGAUACCCUUGUAGUC
rnacentral:rRNA from 1 species